rnacentral:rRNA from 1 species
CCCAGUUUUUUCUUGACUCUUCAAAGGUCUUGGAAUAAGGGGUGGGUAAGGACGGUGCCAGCCGCCGCGGUAAUACCGGCGCCUCAAGUGGUAGUCGCUUUUAUUGGGCCUAAAACGUCCGUAGCCGGUCUGGUGCAUUCGUGGGUAAAUCAACCCGCUCAACGGGUUGAAUUCUGCGAGCACGGCCAGACUUGGGACCGGGAGAGGUGUGGGGUACUCUCAGGGUAGGGGUAAAAUCCUGUCAUCCUGAGAGGACCACCUGUUGCGAAGGCGCCACACUAGAACGGAUUCGACGGUCAGGGACGAAACCUAGGGGCACGAACCGGAUUAGAUACCCGGGUAGUCCUAGGUGUAAACGCUGUGGACUUGAUGUUGGGGGUGCUCCGAGCACUCUCAGUGUCGAAGCGAAGGUGAUAAGUCCACUGCCUGGGGAGUACGGUCGCAAGGCUGAAACUUAAAGGAAUUGGCGGGGGAGCACUGCAACCUGAGGAUUGUGCGGUUUAAUUGGACUCAACGCCGGAA